CGUUUAUUUCUUUAACAAACACAUCUAACUUCUAAUAGCAGGACCUAAGGAGCUAACUCGAGACAUGUGUCCUUGAUCUCAUUACAAAUUCAACUGUACCGUUUUCCCGGUAAACGAAGAUUCAUCUUACGUGGGAGGCAUAAAGAACCCGGAGGAAAAGGACACCCCUCCUGUUCUACACAGUUAAUUGCAGAAGUUUUUCAUGAGAGCAGGUUGAAGAUGUAAGAGGAAUUCAGGGUGUAACCUUGAUGCCUUCAUUUAUAGCCCAUGCUUUUAACAUG